GGGGUAUAGUUCAGUGGUACAACACUUGCCUAGCAUGUGAGAGGCCCUGGGUUCAACUCCUGGUGCCACCA
rnacentral:tRNA from 1 species